rnacentral:rRNA from 1 species
GACGUAGGGAGCGAGCGUUGUCCGGAUUCAUUGGGCGUAAAGAGCGCGCAGGCGGUUUGGUAAGUCGGAUGUGAAAACCCGGGGCUCAACCCCGGGCGUGCAUCUCGAUACUGCCCGACUAGAGGUAGGUAGGGGAGAUCGGAAUUCCUGGUGUAGCGGUGAAAUGCGCAGAUAUCAGGAGGAACACCGGUGGCGAAGGCGGAUCUCUGGGCCUGUCCUGACGCUGAGGCGCGAAAGCUAGGGGAGCGAACAGG